GUGCACGCUGGCGGUAGGCCUCACACCUGCAAGUCGCACGGCAGCACAGUAAGAGCUUGCUCUUACGGGUGGCGAGUGGCGGACGGGUGAGGAAUACAUCGGAAUCUACUUUUUCGUGGGGGAUAACGUAGGGAAACUUACGCUAAUACCGCAUACGACCUACGGGUGAAAGCAGGGGAUCUUCGGACCUUGCGCGAUUGAAUGAGCCGAUGUCGGAUUAGCUAGUUGGCGGGGUAAAGGCCCACCAAGGCGACGAUCCGUAGGUGGUCUGAGAGGAUGAUCAGCCACACUGGAACUGAGACACGGUCCAGACUCCUACGGGAGGCAGCAGUGGGGAAUAUUGGACAAUGGGCGCAAGCCUGAUCCAGCCAUACCGCGUGGGUGAAGAAGGCCUUCGGGUUGUAAAGCCCUUUUGUUGGGAAAGAAAAGCAGCAGGUUAAUACCCCGCUGUUCUGACGGUACCCAAAGAAUAAGCACCGGCUAACUUCGUG
rnacentral:rRNA from 1 species